AGAGUUUGAUCCUGGCUCAGGACGAACGCUGGCGGCGUGCUUAACACAUGCAAGUCGAACGGUGAAGGGACCAGCUUGCUGGUUCUGGAUGAGUGGCGAACGGGUGAGUAACACGUGAGUAACCUGCCCCCUUCUUCUGGAUAACCGCAUGAAAGUGUGGCUAAUACGGGAUAUUCUGCGCCUGCUGCAUGGUGGGUGUGGGAAAGAUAUUGUUUCGGUGGGGGAUGGGCUCGCGGCCUAUCAGCUUGUUGGUGGGGUGAUGGCCUACCAAGGCGGUGACGGGUAGCCGGCCUGAGAGGGUGGACGGUCACACUGGGACUGAGACACGGCCCAGACUCCUACGGGAGGCAGCAGUGGGGAAUAUUGCACAAUGGGCGCAAGCCUGAUGCAGCGACGCCGCGUGAGGGAUGGAGGCCUUCGGGUUGUAAACCUCUUUCGCCAGUGAAGCAGGCCUGCUCCUUGUGGGUGGGUUGACGGUAGCUGGAUAAGAAGCGCCGGCUAACUACGUGCCAGCAGCCGCGGUAAUACGUAGGGCGCGAGCGUUGUCCGGAAUUAUUGGGCGUAAAGAGCUCGUAGGCGGCUGGUCGCGUCUGUCGUGAAAUCCUCUGGCUUAACUGGGGGCUUGCGGUGGGUACGGGCCGGCUUGAGUGCGGUAGGGGAGACUGGAACUCCUGGUGUAGCGGUGGAAUGCGCAGAUAUCAGGAAGAACACCGGUGGCGAAGGCGGGUCUCUGGGCCGUUACUGACGCUGAGGAGCGAAAGCGUGGGGAGCGAACAGGAUUAGAUACCCUGGUAGUCCACGCCGUAAACGUUGGGCACUAGGUGUGGGGGGCCUUUUCCGGGUCUUCCGCGCCGUAGCUAACGCAUUAAGUGCCCCGCCUGGGGAGUACGGCCGCAAGG
rnacentral:rRNA from 1 species